rnacentral:lncRNA from 1 species
ACAAUAAUUUUACACACAGAGAUUACUGAAAAAUGGGCUUCUCUUUCAAAAAUGCAUUUGUGGUAUUCAUGGCCUUGUGGCUCCUCCUAGCUUCUGGUAUCUCUUCCCCUCUAGCUAGCUCCUUGUUUGUUUACACUAACUUGCUAGAUUUACAUAUAAUAUUUAUUCUCUUGUCUUUGUUUUGGCCAGGUUGCAUUGCAAGCCAUGGGGGCUCAAGUGGAGUGGAAAACAGAAGGGAGCUGAGGAAAGCUCCAUCUGGUCCUGACCCUAUUCAUCACAGUGCUGCUCACCCCAACAACCCUAAAUAUGCCACUUCUCCUCCCACACGCUACUAACUUCAUCCUACUAUGUACACAUAUUUCCGUCAGUUAUGACCCCUUUUUCUUGUAAAAACCGUGAUCGUAUUUAAAUAUCUGUAGUCGGCUAUGGCGAUAUGGUUAUGAUGUUCUUGACAUGAACAUGUACGUAGUAAUGCGAAG